AGGCUCAGGCCAUCCGUUAUUUCUUCCCCAUGGCGCUUGGGGCACUUGGCGCAUUAUUGUAGCUUCUGAGCUUAAGCCGGGUGAGCCGUUCUCCAACCCUUUGGCCCCCGAUGGCCACGAUGUGGAUGAUCCUCACUCCUUCCACCAGCUGGAAUGCAGUGGUGCGAUCUCGGCUCACCACAACCUCUGCCUCCCGGGUUCAAGCAAUUCUCCUGCCUCAGCCUCCCGAAUAGCUGGGAUUACAGAUCAAAACUCACCAAUGAAGACUUCAGGAAACUUCUCAUGACCCCCAGGGCUGCACCCACCUCUGCACCACCUUCUAAGUCACGUCACCAUGAGAUGCCAAGGGAGUACAAUGAGGAUGAAGACCCAGCUGCACGAAGGAGGAAAAAGAAAAGUUAUUAUGCCAAGCUACGCCAACAAGAAAUUGAGAGAGAGAGAGAGCUAGCAGAGAAGUACCGGGAUCGUGCCAAGGAACGGAGAGAUGGAGUGAACAAAGAUUAUGAAGAAACCGAGCUUAUCAGCACCACAGCUAACUACAGGGCUGUUGGCCCCA
rnacentral:sRNA from 1 species